rnacentral:rRNA from 1 species
AAUAGAUACCCUGGUAGUCCACGCCCUAAACGAUGUCUACUAGUUGUCGGGGGGUAACUCCUUCGGUAACGCAGCUAACGCGUGAAGUAGACCGCCUGGGGAGUACGGUCGCAAGAUUAAAACUCAAAGGAAUUGACGGGGACCCGCACAAGCGGUGGAUGAUGUGGAUUAAUUCGAUGCAACGCGAAAAACCUUACCUACCCUUGACAUGCCACUAACGAAGCAGAGAUGCAUUAGGUGCCCGAAAGGGAAAGUGGACACAGGUGCUGCAUGGCUGUCGUCAGCUCGUGUCGUGAGAUGUUGGGUUAAGUCCCGCAACGAGCGCAACCCUUGCCAAUAGUUGCUACGAAAGGGCACUCUAUUGGGACUGCCGGUGACAAACCGGAGGAAGGUGGGGAUGACGUCAAGUCCUCAUGGCCCUUAUGGGUAGGGCUUCACACGUCAUACAAUGGCUGGUACAGAGGGUUGCCAACCCGCGAGGGGGAGCCAAUCCCACAAAACCAGUCGUAGUCCGGAUUGCAGUCUGCAACUCGACUGC